rnacentral:misc_RNA from 1 species
GAUGAAGAACGCAGCGAAAUGCGAUACGUAAUGUGAAUUGCAGAAUUCAGUGAAUCAUCGAAUCUUUGAACGCAUAUUGCGCUCUUUGGUAUUCCGAAGAGCAUGCUUGUUUGAGUAUCAGUAAACACCUCAAAGCUUUUGGAUUUUUUAAUCGAAAAGCUUUGGACUUGAGCAAUCCCAACACCAAUCUUUUUGAGAUCGGUGGCGGGUUGCUUGAAAUGCAGGUGCAGCUGGACAUUCUCCUGAGCUAAAAGCAUAUUCAUUUAGUCCCGUCGAACGGAUUAUUACUUUUGCUGCAGCUAACAUAAAGGGAGUUUGACCGUAUUGGCUGACUGAUGCAGGAUUUCACAAGGGUCGGCAACGAUUCUUGUUAAACUCGAUCUCAAAUCAAGUAAGACUACCCGCUGAACUUAAGCAUAUCAAUAAGCGGAGGA